AUGCUAGGUUUAAAAAAGAAGAGAGAAAGUGUGGGAUGUUCUCGCUCCAUGAUGAUAAACGUUGUGGCUACUCAAGGCUAUUGCUGUGAUGAAUAUUUCAAUCAAUCUGGCACGGCGCCCUCCGCUCUCCAGAGUGAGGAGAGAGUUGACAGUUGGAUGAAGAAAGGCUUUGUGGAGGAAGUGUCAUCAGAGCUGACCUUCAGGAUCCAGGGUUACUGCGGGCCCUGUUGGGUAAGUUCUUACAGAAAGUGCAGAGGAAAUCAGGAUCAGAGGCGAAAGCAUGUGCGGGCAUCCCUGAGGAGGCCAACAGUAGGUCUCGCAUCAGAGGGGUUCCUGGACAUCUCUGGGCCCAAGGAGAGCCUCCUCUAAAUCAGGAUCUUGCCCCAAAGUAGCACAGAAGAGGGAGGAUGCUGUUUCCAAAGAAGUGACUCAAAAACUCUCUGAAGCUGAUAACAGAAAGAUGUCUCGAAAGGAAAAAGAUGAAAGAAUUUUGUGGAAGAAGAAUGAAGUUGCUGAUUAUGACGCUGCAACAUUUUCCAUCUUCUAGAACAACACCCUAUUCCUGGUCUUGGUCAUUGUUGCCUCCUUCUUUAUAUUGAAGAACUUCAACCCAACAGUGAACUAUAUUUUGUCCAUAAGUGCUUCAUAAGGCCUCAUCGCCCUCCUGUCUACUGGCUCCAAGUAGACCAGACCGGCUUUGGCCCCUGGCUUUGUAUCUAUGCGUGGCCUGUGAUAUAUGGAAAAGUAACAGGGUGGUCAGAGUGAGAGACGCACAAGAUGUUUUUAUAGUCUGCAGUUGGAGGGUUUGAAAAACCCAACAAAAUGUAAUUCAAUAUUUGUUUAUUAGCAUUUUUUGACAGAUUGUUGAAAUUAAAUGAAUUGAAAAAAAACUACAUAGGACACUUCUAUUUAUUCUUCAAAUCUCAACUUGAGUAUCACCUCCUCUGUGAAGCCUUUCUGAUCAUUCCUGCUUUCCUGUCUGCCCCCCCCCCCCCAUCAUUUCCCUCUUUGCUAAGCAUACCGUGUCUAAGUACUUUGUAAACAGAGGACCCAGUGGGCAGGUGAUGAGGGGAGGCCUUCAUCUAUGACCUUGCUUGUAAAGGAGCUGAACUCUCAAUCUUUGCCUUAUGAUAGUAAUAAACUCCAACUACCUGUGCAGUCUCAGAAGGUAAAACAAAAGCAAAAACAAGUCCUGCUUGUUCCCUGUUAUACCCCCCAGCUCAUGGCCAGAAACAAGGGAGGGAAAGAGAGGUGAAAAAGGGAGAAGAAAUUCUAUAAACAGAUAAGAGAGGGGCGAGAGAAACCAUUGACAGUCGUGGUGACUUAAUCUUAAUUCUGAGGCCUAUUCCUUGUCUGUUUCCCUCUGAUCUGUAAAACAGAGUGCCUCCUAUAAGGUUUCUGAGUUCUGAAACAACUCAGGAGAAUGAUAGUUCUCUUUCUAUUAACGAAACCAUUCUCUAAAUGUGCCAUAGGGGGUAGGAGUGGGGUAGGAGUUUAGGGAAGAGAAUCAGUCAGCAGUUAGCAAGAGCCAAAUAAACACAGUGGCAGAUCCAUGGAAGCUGAAUCUGAGGGCAGGUUGGAGACCAACCAAGACUAGACAGUCAACGCCACUCAACAUUUGUUGUGUCUCUCUUCUGUGGGCCAUGAUAAAACUCACCAAAACAGUAUUUGUUGGGCCACAACCAGUUGUUGGGAAUGGAAAAUAGGGAGUAAGGCAAAAAAAAAGGCAGGGCACCAUCCUGGCAUCCAGUUGCACAGCUCUGGACGUGCCACCGCUCUGGCCUAGGAAGCAGCAGCCCGGCCCCUGGUCCCUGGGCUGCUGGCACUGGAGGGCCAUGGAAGGAGCCGGCGGGGCUGGUAGCUGGGGGAGAGCUCAAGCCUGCCCUGAGCUCAGCGGAAACCCGGCCCCCCGUCUGCCCAGGACAUCCCCUCGGUGCGUGCCUAGCCCCCAGCAAGCCCUGCCAGCCUCAUGCCUGCCUGGUCAUGAUUCAAGUCUAAUUUAAGCCGUGGGCCUGGUGCUCCCUUCAGCACGCCUCUGAGAAGGCCCGCAUGUUGCUUACAAACCAACCAACCAACAGCCCUCCUGCACUAUCGGUUUUACAGGCAAAAGAGGAUGUGGUGACGUCCUAUGAUAGAGGUUGUGUCCUCUAGGAUCCCCGAGGUACCCAACAGCGUGUAGACCAACCUGGCAGACAAACUGCUCCUUCUGUUUAUGUGCAUCAACUGUGUGUUCAGAGCUGUACCUGCGUGAGAAACAGGAAGCCUGAGGGACGUUUCCUCAGUUUAUCCCCUGCUUUCCCUGGACUCCUGGUAGGUAGGGCCUAUUUUCACUUCUGUACUCUCAGUAUUUGGCACAGAAUCUUACAAAGUGUAGGUGCUCAACAGAUGCUCCCUGAGUGAAUAUAAUAAUUCUAUUUUCAGGAUUCAGUUAUGACCGGAUCAAGUCUGACCCCUCAUCUCUUUGCUUCUGUAUUGGGAUGAGUUCACUGAAUGUCCCCACAGUCCCUAGUAGCUAACCUGUUACUCAGCUGCCACUACCUCAGCAGCAAGGCAGGCCGCCCCUUAGGCAGACAAGUAGAGCACACAGGACUCCGUCUCUUUCUUGCCUUUCUUUCUCCUUAUCUUCCUCUUUCCUUUCUGGCAGGGUGACCAACUAUCUCAGCUUGCCCAAGUCUGAGGCCUCUCUCAAGCUAACACCAGGCAAGUCCCAGCAAAUCUGGGCAGGUGGUCAUUCCAUUCUCCUUUUCCCUUCCAGAAACAUACGAUGAAUCAUAGUUUGGGCAUGGCCCUGAACUAGACCCCGUGGACUUCAAGAACAAGACAAAGCUUCUGCCCUCAGCAAUCUCAGCGUCUAAUGGGAUGGAGACACAUGGGCAAGAAGUUAUAAAGUACUAAGCAGAGGCAGUGUGGCUGGAGGGUGAGAGGAAGAGUAAGGUGAACUUAGGGAAAGCUUCCUUCAGGAUGUGACAUCAAAAAGCAUCAGAAAAUAUGAUUGCUUAGAGGCACCUAGUCCUGGUCAGGGAGACUGAGUGUCCUUACAAGUUGGGAGUGUCCAGCCACCCUGGUGCGACAGUGUUCCUGCAGAAUUGGAGGAGAUGAACAGAGGGUGGCAGUGUCAGACGUGGUGCAGCACCAUUACGCUGGGGAAGCACAGGCCCACGCUGUGUCGGAAUGUGUCGACUGGUUUUACUCAAGGCAGUAGAGCUAAUUAUAGAGCCAAAUUCCCUUUGCUCCCGAGUGAGACUGUUAUCGCAUCCCCACCCCCUUACCAUCAGCUUCCUCCCUCCCUUCUGUAGCUGACCUCCCUCUCCUCCUUACCCAAAACAUAAAUAUAAGUGAGGAUCUUGUCCCAGUUGCAAGACAGGUGAUUGUUUCCAUUCCUUUCUUUGGAACCCCAAGCUUUAAUUUCUGCUACAUCUGGAACACGGAGCCUGAUGAAGCUGGAGUUGGAGGUCAUAGUGCCUUUUGGCCUAGGAUUUCAGAGACUGCAUUUCCACACUCCUUUUGGACAGCUCUUGAGCAAGCUUAGGGUUUCCAAUGCCUCCUUACCAUCUAUCUUUCCAAAACUGGGGAAAGGGGAAAGGACUUUAGGUAUUUGAUGGGAGGCUACUCACAGCCUGCUUUGGGUUGGUCUUCUCAUGCCCUGGGACUUUCUGCUGGCCACAGUGAUGGCUGAGACCAGGAGAUGACAGAUGCCUCUGAACCGGAGCCUUGUACUGUUUCUCCAGGUUUGCGUUGCCCUGGGCUGCUCACCGUGGGACACACACCGAUGGCACAUCCUACAUUCCUGGUAGUUCAGCCCAUGUUCACUUCACUGUCCAGUUGAGUGGCUGGAGUGCUCAGUAGUGAUUUUACUCAUUUUCAUAUAGGAUUCUGUAUCUACUAAUGGAUCAAGGCCUCUUGGACUUCUCUAAUUUAACUGGGUCCGUUAUUUCUCUCUAGCACUGAGUUCAGGGGAUAAUUGGAAUCGAUUUAGGAUCUUAUUCCAUUCACUUACAAAGUAAUUUAAAAAAAUUUCACCUUGUCCUACAUCUACUCCCC
rnacentral:lncRNA from 1 species